rnacentral:misc_RNA from 1 species
GUCAGAGUUCAAAUGAUGUAGUGUUUAUAGUAGUAUUUAGAGGUUAAGAGAGCAUUUUGAUUAGGGUAAAUAAGAUGAUACAAUUAUUCUUUAUCGAACACUUCUAUUUUAAAUCACUGUACAAACAGCUAACAGCUAAUAAAACAACAGAUAACUAUUAAAACAGUUAUCGGCUAUUAGAACAACUAAUAUUGUGACCUUAAGCAAUUAUGAUUAUAGUUGAGCAAUCGAG